CCCCCCCUCCCCCUCCAUCCCCCCCUUCUCGUUCUCUUCGCCGGCGUCGGACCCGCGCCGCCGCCCUACCACCGGCACCGACGAGCAGUCUCCAAUAUCUCGCGCGAGAGUGAGAGUGCAGCUGCUGUGCUCUUCUGUGCUGCUGAUGAGGCCGCCCUCUGCACUUCCUACGAUCACAAGGUUACUCCCUACGUCAAAUGCAUCAAGCCAAUAUUGAGAAAAGGCUCGGGUCAAGAUUGUCAUCGUCGUCGCCCUCACUCGGUUUCUUGCUUUCGUUCUUCGGCCUCUUCGUCAGCCUCGUGUUGUUGCCGAAAUCAUCGCUCAAGCUGAAAUAGCAAGGAGGAAUCGCAACGCGCCUCGCA